GAUGAACGCUGGCGGCGUGCCUAAUACAUGCAAGUCGAGCGAACGGACGAGAAGCUUGCUUCUCUGAUGUUAGCGGCGGACGGGUGAGUAACACGUGGAUAACCUACCUAUAAGACUGGGAUAACUUCGGGAAACCGUAGCUAAUACCGGAUAAUAUUUUGAACCGCAUGGUUCAAAAGUGAAAGACGGUCUUGCUGUCACUUAUAGAUGGAUCCGCGCUGCAUUAGCUAGUUGGUAAGGUAACGGCUUACCAAGGCAACGAUGCAUAGCCGACCUGAGAGGGUGAUCGGCCACACUGGAACGGAGACACGGUCCAGACUCCUACGGGAGGCAGCAGUAGGGAAUCUUCCGCAAUGGGCGAAAGCCCGACGGAGCAACGCCGCGUGAGUGAUGAAGGUCUUCGGAUCGUAAAACUCUGUUAUUAGGGAAGAACAUAUGUGUAAGUAACUGUGCACAUCUUGACGGUACCUAAUCAGAAAGCCACGGCUAACUACGUG
rnacentral:rRNA from 1 species